rnacentral:rRNA from 1 species
GACGAACGCUGGCGGCGUGCCUAAUACAUGCAAGUAGAACGCUGAAGAGAGGAGCUUGCUCUUCUUGGAUGAGUUGCGAACGGGUGAGUAACGCGUAGGUAACCUGCCUUGUAGCGGGGGAUAACUAUUGGAAACGAUAGCUAAUACCGCAUAACAAUGGAUGACACAUGUCAUUUAUUUGAAAGGGGCAAUUGCUCCACUACAAGAUGGACCUGCGUUGUAUUAGCUAGUAGGUGAGGUAAUGGCUCACCUAGGCGACGAUACAUAGCCGACCUGAGAGGGUGAUCGGCCACACUGGGACUGAGACACGGCCCAGACUCCUACGGGAGGCAGCAGUAGGGAAUCUUCGGCAAUGGGGGCAACCCUGACCGAGCAACGCCGCGUGAGUGAAGAAGGUUUUCGGAUCGUAAAGCUUUGUUGUAAGUCAAGAACGGGUGUGAGAGUGGAAAGUUCACACUGUGACGGUAGCUUACCAGAAAGGGACGGCUAACUACGUGCCAGCAGCCGCGGUAAUACGUAGGUCCCGAGCGUUGUCCGGAUUUAUUGGGCGUAAAGCGAGCGCAGGCGGUUUGAUAAGUCUGAAGUUAAAGGCUGUGGCUCAACCAUAGUUCGCUUUGGAAACUGUCAAACUUGAGUGCAGAAGGGGAGAGUGGAAUUCCAUGUGUAGCGGUGAAAUGCGUAGAUAUAUGGAGGAACACCGGUGGCGAAAGCGGCUCUCUGGUCUGUAACUGACGCUGAGGCUCGAAAGCGUGGGGAGCGAACAGGAUUAGAUACCCUGGUAGUCCACGCCGUAAACGAUGAGUGCUAGGUGUUGGAUCCUUUCCGGGAUUCAGCGCCGCAGCUAACGCAUUAAGCACUCCGCCUGGGGAGUACGACCGCAAGGUUGAAACUCAAAGGAAUUGACGGGGGCCCGCACAAGCGGUGGAGCAUGUGGUUUAAUUCGAAGCAACGCGAAGAACCUUACCAGGUCUUGACAUCCCGAUGCUAUUUCUAGAGAUAGAAAGUUACUUCGGUACAUCGGUGACAGGUGGUGCAUGGUUGUCGUCAGCUCGUGUCGUGAGAUGUUGGGUUAAGUCCCGCAACGAGCGCAACCCCUAUUGUUAGUUGUCAUCAUUCAGUUGGGCACUCUAGCGAGACUGCCGGUAAUAAACCGGAGGAAGGUGGGGAUGACGUCAAAUCAUCAUGCCCCUUAUGACCUGGGCUACACACGUGCUACAAUGGUUGGUACAACGAGUUGCGAGUCGGUGACGGCGAGCUAAUCUCUUAAAGCCAAUCUCAGUUCGGAUUGUAGGCUGCAACUCGCCUACAUGAAGUCGGAAUCGCUAGUAAUCGCGGAUCAGCACGCCGCGGUGAAUACGUUCCCGGGCCU